CCGUACUAGGCGGGGAGCUAGUGGUGCCCUAUACCCGAAAUCCACUAUACGCGGGGCUGAAUGCGACACUAGGUGUCACUGUACACAUAUUUAGUGUUUAUAUUGCAAUGUUGAAUUCAAGGUCUUGUGCAAUGUGAUGCUAUGAACCAUGUCAGGGUGGGAACACAGCAGCAUUAAGUGGUUAUCAUAUGUGCCACAAGGUAGCUUUGGAGGAGUUGUG
rnacentral:SRP_RNA from 1 species